rnacentral:sRNA from 1 species
GUUUAGCCCCGAUAGAAGUGAAAAUCCUUUUAUGUUUUUUUUUAAACAUAAAAGAUUGUAACGUCCCGAAGUUUCGGGAGCGGGAAACAGC